rnacentral:rRNA from 1 species
UACGGAGGGAGCUAGCGUUGUUCGGAAUUACUGGGCGUAAAGCGCACGUAGGCGGAUUUGCCAGUCAGGGGUGAAAUCCCGGGGCUCAACCUCGGAACUGCCCUUGAUACAGCAAGUCUUGAGUCCGGAAGAGGUGAGUGGAAUUCCUAGUGUAGAGGUGAAAUUCGUAGAUAUUAGGAAGAACACCAGUGGCGAAGGCGGCUCACUGGUCCGGUACUGACGCUGAGGUGCGAAAGCGUGGGGAGCAAACAGG